rnacentral:rRNA from 1 species
AUGGAUGGCCACCUUCAAGUUCAGCAGCCUAAGUUGGUGCUCCCUCCGGGGUUGAGAUUCCACCCUACUGACGAGCAGAUCAUCACCUCGUACCUAGUCCCCAAGCCAUGGGAGCUCCCAAAGAAGGCAAAGAUGGGGGAGAAUAAGUGGUACUUCUACUGCCAGAAGGACCAUGAGGACCCCUCCGGUAUACAGACUAACCGUGCCACUAAAGUGGGCUACUGGAAGGCCACAGGGAAGGACAAGGAAAUCCUUGACUCGACACCCGCACUCAUCGGUAAGAAGAAGACGCUCGUGUUCUACAAGGGCAGGGCUCCUACAGGGGAGGAGACCAAAUGGGUCAUGCACGAGUAUAGGCUUGAGAUUGGCAAGCAGCUAACAUCCAGUCUAUCCACUGACAUCUCCAAAGCCACCAUCAUUAAUGCGUCUUCCAAGCACAGAACUAAAGAAAGUGGUGAUGCCAUCGGACAAAACGCCCAUGCCCAUCUCCAUGGAAGCAGAGCAGUAACAAGUCUUUGUUCACUCUGCUACAUCGACUCCUCUCAUGGACUCGGUGUGUCAUCAUCGAUGGCACCUCCGUUGUCGGUGCUCAUCGAUUCUUCAUACCAGUUGCACGCCACUAGGGCCAGGUCGUCGUUGAUUGCUAACAUUGAGAUGGGUGGCAACCAGAAGUCAUUUUACUACCACCAGAAGGAUAUUAUGGAGAUGCAGAUGAUUGUAGAGCAGAGCUUCAUGGUCGGGGUCGCCCGGGAGUGGGCCAUCAUCCAUGUUUAUGAAGGAGGACAACAUGAUUGGACUGAGCAGUAG